GUCGCUUUGGCGGAGUGGUUAACGUGCUUCCCUGCUAUCUUCUACCCUGGCUUAGCAGCUGAGGAAGUUCCUUCGGGAGCGUAGGUUCGAAUCCUGCAGGCGACG